UACAGAGGGGGCAAGCGUUAUUCGGAAUUAUUGGGCGUAAAGGGCGCGUAGGCGGCUUGGCACGUGGAAGGUGAAAUCCCUCGGCUCAACUGAGGAACUGCAUUCCAGACUGCUUUGCUUGAGUCCGGGAGAGGUGAGUGGAAUUCCCAGUGUAGCGGUGAAAUGCGUAGAGAUCAGGAAGAACACCGGUGGCGAAAGCGCUCUGCUAGGCCGCAACUGACACUGAGGGACGAAAGCUAGGGGAGCGAAUGGG
rnacentral:rRNA from 1 species